GCUUUCGUGGCUUAGGGGUUAUAGCGCCGUGUUAACAUGGCACACUUUAUAAGUGUUCACCGGAUCCGCGGAGGUCAUGAGUUCGAUUCUCAUCGAAAGCU